AGAAGAGCAUCUUCAUUCAGGUGAACAAUGAUCUCCUCAGUGUUGCUGCUGCUGAUCAUAACAGCAGUAUAUGGUGGUGUAGACUGUCUGGAACUCACUCAGCCCGGCUCUUUGGUUGUUAAACCUGGAGAAUCGUUCUCCAUCUCCUGUAAAAUUUCACAAUCAAGCUACUGUAUACACUGGAUCCGGCAGCCUGCUGGGAAAGCUCCGGAAUGGCUGGGAUAUCUGUGUAAUGAUGAUAGGACUAAUAUUAAAGACUCAGUGAAGAGCAAGAUCAGCCUCAGUCAGGACACUUCCAUCAACACAGUGUAUUUACGAGGCCAGAACUCUCAGACUGAGGACACAGCUGUGUAUUACUGCGCCACACACACACAAUGA